UACGUAGGGCGCAAGCGUUAUCCGGAAUUAUUGGGCGUAAAGAGCUCGUAGGCGGUUUGUCGCGUCUGCCGUGAAAGUCCGGGGCUCAACUCCGGAUCUGCGGUGGGUACGGGCAGACUAGAGUGAUGUAGGGGAGACUGGAAUUCCUGGUGUAGCGGUGAAAUGCGCAGAUAUCAGGAGGAACACCGAUGGCGAAGGCAGUGUCCUGGGAAGUACCUGACGCUCAGGUGCGAAAGCUAGGGGAGCGAACAGG
rnacentral:rRNA from 1 species